rnacentral:rRNA from 1 species
GCAUCCUGUUAAGUCAGGCAACGAGCGAGACCCACGCCCACAGUUGCCAGCGUACUCUCUGGAGGUGACGGGUACACUGUGGGACCGCCGCUGCUAAAGCGGAGGAAGGAGUGGGCAACGGUAGGUCAGUAUGCCCCGAAUAUCCCGGGCUACACGCGAGCUACAAUGGUUGGUACAAUGGGUAUCUACCCCGAAAGGGGACGGGAAUCUCCUAAAACCAAUCUUAGUUCGGAUUGAGGGCUGCAACUCGCCCUCAUGAAGCUGGAAUCCGUAGUAAUCGCGUUUCAACAGAACGCGGUGAAUACGUCCCUGCUCCUU